UGGACGAGAGUCUGAACCAGCCAAGUAGCGUGCAGGAAGACGGCCCUAUGGGUUGUAAACUGCUUUUAUAAGGGAAUAAAGUUAGUCUCGUGAGACUUUUUGCAUGUACCUUAUGAAUAAGGACCGGCUAAUUCCGUGCCAGCAGCCGCGGUAAUACGGAAGGUCCGGGCGUUAUCCGGAUUUAUUGGGUUUAAAGGGAGCGUAGGCCGGAGAUUAAGCGUGUUGUGAAAUGUAGACGCUCAACGUCUGCACUGCAGCGCGAACUGGUUUCCUUGAGUACGCACAAAGUGGGCGGAAUUCGUGGUGUAGCGGUGAAAUGCUUAGAUAUCACGAAGAACUCCGAUUGCGAAGGCAGCUCACUGGAGCGCAACUGACGCUGAAGCUCGAAAGUGCGGGUAUCGAACAGGAUUAGAUACCCUGGUAGUCCGCACGGUAAACGAUAGAGGCCCGCUGUUGGUCUGAAUAGGUCAAGCGGCCA
rnacentral:rRNA from 1 species